CCGGGCACAAUCUGGCAACGCGUGGCAAAGAUAGGGGCGACUGACUCUUAAUCAGUAGGUUCGGGGUUCGAUUCCCUGGCGGCGUACCA
rnacentral:tRNA from 1 species